AUACACAGACAUUUGUUAUGACAGAGUUGGAUUGCAAUAAAAGGUGACUGUUAACCUUAAAACUACCAAGUCUCAGGAGAAUAUGGACUGCGAGUCAUGACACUCUGGAGGGCGCCAUUGUUGCUAUUGUACAUCCACUCAUACAUGUGCAGAAGAA